rnacentral:rRNA from 1 species
CGUAGGUGGCAAGCGUUAUCCGGAAUUAUUGGGCGUAAAGCGCGCGUAGGUGGUUUAAGUCUGAUGUGAAAGCCCACGGCUCAACCGUGGAGGGUCGAUUGGAAACUGGAAACUUAGAGUGCAGAAGAGGAAGUGGAAUUCCAUGUGUAGCGGUGAAAUGCGCAGAGAUAUGGAGGAACACCAGUGGCGAAGGCGACUUUCUGGUCUGUAACUGACGCUGAUGUGCGAAAGCGUGGGAUCAAACAGGAUU